UUGCCAGACUCCUACGGGAGGCAGCAGUGAGGAAUAUUGGUCAAUGGGCGGGAGCCUGAACCAGCCAUGCCGCGUGAAGGCGAGUGCCCUACGGGCGUUAAACUUCUUUUGUGCGGGAGCAAUAAGGGCCACGCGUGGCCCGAUGAGAGUACCGCACGAAUAAGCAUCGGCUAACCCCGUGCCAGCAGCCGCGGUAAUACGGGGGAUGCGAGCGUUAUCCGGAUUUAUUGGGUUUAAAGGGUGCGUAGGCGGGCUUUUAAGUCAGCGGUAAAAAUUCGGGGCUCAACCCCGUCCGGCCGUUGAAACUGGGGGCCUUGAGUGGGCGAGAAGAAGGCGGAAUGCGUGGUGUAGCGGUGAAAUGCAUAGAUAUCACGCAGAACUCCGAUUGCGAAGGCAGCAUACCGGCGCCCAACUGACGCUGAAGCACGAAAGCGUGGGUAUCGAACAGGAUUAGAUACCCCCGUA
rnacentral:rRNA from 1 species